rnacentral:rRNA from 1 species
GACGAACCGAGCGAACGUUGUUCGGAAUCACUGGGCUUAAAGGGCGCGUAGGCGGGUGCUCAAGUCCGUGGUGAAAUCCUCCGGCUCAACCGGAGAACUGCCUCGGAUACUGGGUGCCUCGAGGGUGGUAGGGGUAUGCGGAACUAUCGGUGGAGCGGUGAAAUGCGUUGAUAUCGAUAGGAACUCCGGUGGCGAAGGCGGCAUACUGGACCACCUCUGACGCUGAGGCGCGAAGGCCAGGGGGAGCAAACGGG